CCACGCAUGUUAUCCAGCGCAGCUCAUCAAACACUGGCACUGAGAUGAAAAUAAUAAAAAUAUGCUAAUCAGAAAAAAUGCCAGCAACAUAGAAAGCUCCAGAUUGAAAUGCUAACUGCCUUCUUAAAUGGGUUUUCCUGGGAGGAAAUUAAAGUUAAAAAUUAAAGCUCUAUGCAAAUUAAUCCAAACAUUUCAGAGGUCAAUAGAAACAAAGUCCAAAAAAGAAAAAAAAAAUCUCAUUCCUGUGUACUUGGGGGUUGGAAGUUCAAAGAAACUGAAGUUGGUCCGAGCGUUAUCCAUCUUGUUUUCUGGUUCUGCCUAGUCUCAGCUGUGAGGGUUUGGCUGCAGGUAGAGCUGGGGGAAGCUAGGCAGCCUCAGCCUCCCCUGACGUCAGUGAGAGGCACAGAUAAAAGUCUUGAAGGGUUUUUGAAUGAUAAAUACGUCUUCAGUUUCUCCUGCUUAAAGAUUUUACAGUGCACUAAAGAUGAUCGCAGCCUUGAACCAAACCCACCACAUCUAGGCCACAAACAAAUUUCACUAUCUAAAGCAGGAUUUGUGUCGUCCAAGCCACUGGCAAUAAUUCAGUGGUCCUAGAUGGAAAGAUGUCAGGCCAAGGAAGGAGCUUUGAUUAACCUGUGGGGGGUGCCAGCCAGUCUGGGGCAGUUCUCUGCUGUCCAGUCUCUGCAUUGAGAAUCUGAAUCCGAGCCUGCUCUGACAUGGAUGUACGUAUCUGUUGGUGGGAUUGGGGCUGACCGCUCACGUUCUUGCUGCAGACUGAACUCAAGCCUCAUCGAUAACCCAUAAGUAAACCUUCUCAGGAGCCUGAGCCAGAAACUGUGGUUCUGUCAGCAGCCGUGGGGUGGGGCAGGAGCCAGAGACACACAGCUCGCCACAGCAGCCUGAGCACUUCUGCUUGGAGAACUGUACUCAGGGGACAACGUCAUUGGUAUCGCACUGAAAACCUUGAAUUCCUAAGAAAACAACAUUGCUACCCUUCUAGACAAGCCCAGAGAUGACCACAUGAUAGGACUGACGGUUUGGAGAAGACCAAACUACACAACACACCUUUGUUUCAGAUAGGAAAAAGGAACUUAUAUAUAAUGUCAAAUGACACUAUGAAGAAAUUUAAACAACAGCUCAUAGGCUAUAGAAAUUAUUUGUAUGCUGGGCAGAGUGGCUGCAUGCCUUUAAUCCCAGGAUCCAGAAACAGUGGCAGGCAGAGCUCUGAGAGUUCAAGGCCAGCCUGGUCUUUUUAAUGAGUUUGAAGACAGCCAAAUCUACAUAGAUUAAACCCUAUUUUUUAUUAAGUUUUAAAAAUAAUAUAUCUGAUAUAUAUCUUUAAUUUUAUAUAGUUAAGGUAUAUAUAAAAACUUUAAAUAUACAAAGAACUUUUGUAACUCAAGAACAAAAGACAUUUUUUUUUUUCAAAUUUUUUUGUCAGGCAAAUGACUGUGGAAAUUUUUUUAGAAGAGGUGCACUGGUAGCUCCUGAGCGUAGGAAAUGAUGGCAUGGUUAGUCACUGGAGCAACGCAAGGGUUCCUUAUAGUGCUGUGAUAAUCAUCAGGACCAAAAGCAACUCGGAGAAGGAAAAGAUUCACUUGACUUGCGGCUUACAGUUAAUCACAGAAGGAAGCCGCGGCAGAUAAAGACAGGAACUGAAGCAGAGACCAUGGGGGACACACAGCUUACUGGCUCGUCGCUGUCAGCUUGCUCAGCUUAUACAGACCAGGUCUAGCUGCCUAGGGAUGGCACUGCCCACAGUAGGCUGGACCUUCCAAUGACAAUCCUUCAUCAAGAAAGUUCUCCACGGACAUGCCCACAGGCCAGUCUAAUGGAGGCAGCUCCUCAGGUGAGAUUCCUUUCUUCCUGGUGACUCCAGCUGGAAUCAAAUGGAUUCAAACUAACUCUGACAGUAGGCUCGAAGGACGACAACGUGCUCUUUCAAACCCACUGGAAUGGCUACAUGUCACAGACAAGAAUGUGUCAGGAUGUUGGGGUUUUUAUCUGUUGUUGCGGGGGGCAGGGGGGGACCUCGGGGCGGUGUAUAGAAAGAUGCAGCCAUUUUGGAAAAGAGACCAACAGUUGCUCAAAAAGUUAAACAUACAGUUACCAUGUGUAAUCUGUUGAUUACCUCUAGUUACAAAGAGAAACAAAGAUCAUAUCAGCAUGUUCGUGGUCACAUUCACAAUAGUCAAGGAGUGAAACAGCUCAAAUUCUCAUAAGCUGGUCAAUGGAGAAAUAAAAUUGAAUAUAUGAAUAAUGCAAUGGAAUAUUACUCUGCCCUAAAAGAGAAAAACAUAUUACUACAUGCUCUGACAUAGAUCCUCCAUGGGUAAGAGCACUAGCUGCUCUUCCAGAGAAACCAGGUCUAAUUCCAAGCACCAACAUUGCAACCCACAACUAUCUGAAACUCCAUCGUGGGAACCAACACAAUAGGCAUGCAAGUAGUGUGCAGUACAGGCAAAACACUCAAUGUACGUGAAACAAAAUUUUCUACUUAGUGAAAGAGACUAGACUCAGUAGGCAGUGCCAGUUAGUUUUUGUCAGCUUGACACAAGCCUACACACACCUGGGAAGAGGGACCUUUAGUCAAGAGGCUGCCUCCAUCGCAUUGGCCUGAGGACAUGUCUAUGGGGGUAUCUCCCUGAUUAAUAAUUGAUGUGGGAG
rnacentral:lncRNA from 1 species